GAUGAACGCUGGCGGCGUGCUUAACACAUGCAAGUCGAGCGAGUGAGUUCUUCGGAACGAUCUAGCGGCGGACGGGUGAGUAACACGUGGGCAACCUGCCUCAUAGAGGGGAAUAGCCUCCCGAAAGGGAGAUUAAUACCGCAUAAAAUUAUCGAGUGGCAUCACAUGAUAAUCAAAGGAGUAAUCCGCUAUGAGAUGGGCCCGCGGCGCAUUAGCUAGUUGGUGAGGUAACGGCUCACCAAGGGGACGAUGCGUAGCCGACCUGAGAGGGUGAUCGGCCACAUUGGGACUGAGACACGGCCCAGACUCCUACGUGAGGCAGCAGUGGGGAAUAUUGCACAAUGGGGGAAACCCUGAUGCAGCAACGCCGCGUGAGUGAUGAAGGUCUUCGGAUUGUAAAGCUCUGUCUUUGGGGACGAUAAUGACGGUACCCAAGGAGGAAGCCACGGCUAACUACGUGCCAGCCGCCGCCGUAA
rnacentral:rRNA from 1 species